UCGACACAGGUUCGUAGGUAGAGAAUACUAAGGCGAAGAGAUAAUGCUUGUAAAGGAACUCGGCAAGUUGUCUUCAUAAGUUAGACGAGAUGAAGAACCAUUGAUAAGUAAAAUUAAAAAUGGUGUCACAAAAUCGGAGGCCCCGACUGUUUACUUAAAACACAGCUUUCUGCUACGAAUAAUAUCUUUGUAUAGAAAGCGAAUUUUGCCCAAUGCCAUUAAUAUAAAGUUGAUAAGAUUUAUUGCCGUGAGGUAUAAUAAAUUAAUGUUGACUGAAGUUCUGGUCAAUGGCGGUCUUAUCUAUGAGGAUCCUAAGGUAGCAAAAUUCAUUGUCCAUUAAAUGUGGUCCUGACUGAAUAAAGUAACGAUGGUCUCACUGUCUCUACAAGCAUCUCAGUGAAAUUGAAUUAGCCGUGCAGAUGCGGUUUAACUUCGGGUAGACGGGAAGACCCUAUGCAACUUUACUGUAGCUAGUUAUAAUAUUUUCAGAAUCCAGAUGUAGAGUAUAAGGUAGUCGACAUGACUCAAGUGAAACACCUUAACUGGAAUUUUGUUAAUAUUCAUUCUAUACUAUAAGAUAUUCUUAUAGGUAAUAUUAGAAGAAAUUGACUAGUGGGCAGUUUGACUGGGGCGGA
rnacentral:rRNA from 1 species